AGAGUUUGAUCCUGGCUCAGGACGAACGCUGGCGGCGCGCCUAACACAUGCAAGUCGAACGAGCGAGAGAGAGCUUGCUUUCUCGAGCGAGUGGCGAACGGGUGAGUAACGCGUGAGGAACCUGCCUCAAAGAGGGGGACAACAGUUGGAAACGACUGCUAAUACCGCAUAAGCCCACGGGUCGGCAUCGACCAGAGGGAAAAGGAGCAAUCCGCUUUGAGAUGGCCUCGCGUCCGAUUAGCUAGUUGGUGAGGUAACGGCCCACCAAGGCGACGAUCGGUAGCCGGACUGAGAGGUUGAACGGCCACAUUGGGACUGAGACACGGCCCAGACUCCUACGGGAGGCAGCAGUGGGGAAUAUUGCACAAUGGGGGAAACCCUGAUGCAGCGACGCCGCGUGGAGGAAGAAGGUCUUCGGAUUGUAAACUCCUGUUGUUGAGGAAGAUAAUGACGGUACUCAACAAGGAAGUGACGGCUAACUACGUGCCAGCAGCCGCGGUAAAACGUAGGUCACAAGCGUUGUCCGGAAUUACUGGGUGUAAAGGGAGCGCAGGCGGGAAGACAAGUUGGAAGUGAAAUCCAUGGGCUCAACCCAUGAACUGCUUUCAAAACUGUUUUUCUUGAGUAGUGCAGAGGUAGGCGGAAUUCCCGGUGUAGCGGUGGAAUGCGUAGAUAUCGGGAGGAACACCAGUGGCGAAGGCGGCCUACUGGGCACCAACUGACGCUGAGGCUCGAAAGUGUGGGUAGCAAACAGGAUUAGAUACCCUGGUAGUCCACACCGUAAACGAUGAUUACUAGGUGUUGGAGGAUUGACCCCUUCAGUGCCGCAGUUAACACAAUAAGUAAUCCACCUGGGGAGUACGACCGCAAGGUUGAAACUCAAAGGAAUUGACGGGGGCCCGCACAAGCAGUGGAGUAUGUGGUUUAAUUCGACGCAACGCGAAGAACCUUACCAAGUCUUGACAUCCUGCGACGCACAUAGAAAUAUGUGUUUCCUUCGGGACGCAGAGACAGGUGGUGCAUGGUUGUCGUCAGCUCGUGUCGUGAGAUGUUGGGUUAAGU
rnacentral:rRNA from 1 species